UCGAGAAUAUUCCACAAUGGACGAAAGUCUGAUGGAGCGACGCCGCGUGCAGGAAGAAGGCCCUUGGGUCGUAAACUGCUUUUGUAAGGAAAAAAUGUAAUGAUGGUACCUUGCGAAUAAGAGGUUACUAACUCUGUGCCAGCAGUAGCGGUAAUACAGAGACCUCAAGCGUUAUCCGGAUUUAUUGGGCGUAAAGAGCAUGUAGGCGGAUAUAUUAGUCAGAUGUCAAAUCUUCGAGCUUAACUCGAAAACUGCAUUUGAAACGGUAUAUCUAGAGAGAGGGAGAGAUCAAUGGAACAUAUGGUGUAGCAGUGAAAUGCGUUGAUAUCAUAUGGAACACCAAAGGCGAAGGCAUUUGGUUGGCCCUCAUCUGACGCUGAGAUGCGAAAGCGUGGGUAGC
rnacentral:rRNA from 1 species